UUUGGAGCAGGAGUUGAACCAGCGACCUUUGGACCACAGCCUUUUAGGAACUUCUUAAAGUCAUGUGCUCUACCAACUGAGCUAUGAAGGUGCUUAUAGACACAAACGCAGAAAACAUAGUGGCUUCGGCGACAGACUUUGCCAACAAUACAAUUGGACCCACAUGGUCAAUGAAAAAGAUUGAACAGUGCAUAGACCAAUGAAAUCUGGUGUUUGGAGCAGGAGUUGAACCAGCGACCUUUGGACGACAGCCUUUCAGGAACUUCUUAAAGUCAUGUGCUCUACCAACUGAGCUAUGAAGGUGCUUAUAGACACAAACGCAGAAAACAUAGUGGCUUCGGCGACACACUUUGCCAACAUAACUAUUGGACCCACAUGGUCGAUGAAAAAGGUUGAACAGUGCAUACACCAAUGAAAUCUGGUGUUUGGAGCAGGAGUUGAACCAGCGACCUUUGGACCACAGCCUUUCAGGAACUUCUUAAAGUCAUGUGCUGUACCAACUGAGCUAUGAAGGUGCUUACAGACACAAACGCAGAAAACAUAGUGGCUUCGGCGACAGACUUUGCCAACAAUACAAUUGGACCCACAUGGUCAAUGAAAAAGAUUGAACAGUGCAUAGAGCAAUGAAAUCUGGUGUUUGGAGCAGGAGUUGAACCAGCGACCUUUGGACCACAGCCUUUCAGGAACUUCUUAAAGUCAUGUGCUCUACCAACUGAGCUAUGAAGGUGCUUACAGACACAAACGCAGAAAACAUAGUGGCUUCGGCGACAGACUUUGCCAACAAUACAAUUGGACCCACAUGGUCAAUGAAAAAGAUUGAACAGUGCAUAGAGCAAUGAAAUCUGGUGUUUGGAGCAGGAGUUGAACCAGCGACCUUUGGACCACAGCCUUUCAGGAACUUCUUAAAGUCAUGUGCUCUACCCACUGAGCUAUGAAGGUGCUUAUAGACACAAACGCAGAAAACAUAGUGGCUUCGGCGACAGACUUUGCCAACAAUACAAUUGGACCCACAUGGUCAAUGAAAAAGAUUGAACAGUGCAUAGAGCAAUGAAAUCUGGUGUUUGGAGCAGGAGUUGAACCAGCGACCUUUGGACCACAGCCUUUGAGGAACUUCUUAAAGUAAUGUGCUCUACCAACUGAGCUAUGAAGGUGCUUAUAGACACAAACGCAGAAAACAUAGUGGCUUCGGCGACACACUUUGCCAACAUAACUAUUGGACCCACAUGGUCGAUGAAAAAGGUUGAACAGUGCAUAGACCAAUGAAAUCUGGUGUUUGGAGCAGGAGUUGAACCAGCGACCUUUGGACCACAGCCUUUCAGGAACUUCUUAAAGUCAUGUGCUCUACCAACUGAGCUAUGAAGGUGCUUAUAGACACAAACGCAGAAAACAUAGUGGCUUCGGCGACAGAUUUUGCCAACAAUACAAUUGGACCCACAUGGUCAAUGAAAAAGAUUGAACAGUGCAUAGACCAAUGAAAUCUGGUGUUUGGAGCAGGAGUUGAACCAGCGACCUUUGGACCACAGCCUUUCAGGAACUUCUUAAAGUCAUGUGCUCUACCAACUGAGCUAUGAAGGUGCUUAUAGACACAAACGCAGAAAAGAUAGUGGCUUCGGCGACAGAUUUUGCCAACAAUACUAUUGGACCCACAUGGUCAAUGAAAAAGAUUGAACAGUGCAUAGACCAAUGAAAUCUGGUGUUUGGAGCAGGAGUUGAACCAGCGACCUUUGGACCACAGCCUUUCAGGAACUUCUUAAAGUCAUGUGCUCUACCAACUGAGCUAUGAAGGUGCUUAUAGACACAAACGCAGAAAACAUAGUGGCUUCGGCGACAGACUUUGCCAACAAUACAAUUGGACCCACAUGGUCAAUGAAAAAGAUUGAACAGUGCAUAGAGCAAUGAAAUCUGGUGUUUGGAGCAGGAGUUGAACCAGCGACCUUUGGACCACAGCCUUUCAGGAACUUCUUAGAGUCAUGUGCUCUACCAACUGAGCUAUGAAGGUGCUUAUAGACACAAACGCAGAAAACAUAGUGGCUUCGGCGACACACUUUGCCAACAUAACUAUUGGACCCACAUGGUCAAUGAAAAAGAUUGAACAGUGGAUACACCAAUGAAAUCUGGUGUUUGGAGCAGGAGUUGAACCAGCGACCUUUGGACCACAGCCUUUCAGGAACUUCUUAAAGUCAUGUGCUCUACCCACUGAGCUAUGAAGGUGCUUAUAGACACAAACGCAGAAAACAUAGUGGCUUCGUCGACAGAUUUUGCCAACAAUACAAUUGGACCCACAUGGUCAAUGAAAAAGGUUGAACAGUGCAUAGACCAAUGAAAUCUGGUGUUUGGAGCAGGAGUUGAACCAGCGACCUUUGGACCACAGCCUUUCAGGAACUUCUUAAAGUCAUGUGCUCUACCAACUGAGCUAUGAAGGUGCUUAUAGACACAAACGCAGAAAAGAUAGUGGCUUCGGCGACAGAUUUUGCCAACAAUACUAUUGGACCCACAUGGUCAAUGAAAAAGAUUGAACAGUGCAUAGACCAAUGAAAUCUGGUGUUUGGAGCAGGAGUUGAACCAGCGACCUUUGGACCACAGGCUUUCAGGAACUUCUUAAAGUCACGUGCUCUACCAACUGAGCUAUGAAGGUGCUUAUAGACACAAACGCAGAAAACAUAGUGGCUUCGGCGACAGACUUUGCCAACAAUACAAUUGGACCCACAUGGUCAAUGAAAAAGAUUGAACAGUGCAUAGACCAAUGAAAUCUGGUGUUUGGAGCAGGAGUUGAACCAGCGACCUUUGGACCACAGCCUUUCAGGAACUUCUUAAAGUCAUGUGCUCUACCAACUGAGCUAUGAAGGUGCUUAUAGACACAAACGCAGAAAACAUAGUGGCUUCGGCGACACACUUUGCCAACAUAACUAUUGGACCCACAUGGUCGAUGAAAAAGGUUGAACAGUGCAUACAACAAUGAAAUCUGGUGUUUGGAGCAGGAGUUGAACCAGCGACCUUUGGACCACAGCCUUUCAGGAACUUCUUAAUGUCAUGUGCUCUACCAACUGAGCUAUGAAGGUGCUUAUAGACACAAACGCAGAAAACAUAGUGGCUUCGGCGACAGACUUUGCCAACAAUACAAUUGGACCCACAUGGUCAAUGAAAAAGAUUGAACAGUGCAUAGACCAAUGAAAUCUGGUGUUUGGAGCUGGAGUUGAACCAGCGACCUUUGGACCACAGCCUUUCAGGAACUUCUUGAAGUCAUGUGCUCUACCAACUGAGCUAUGAAGGUGCUUAUAGACACAAACGCAGAAAACAUAGUGGCUUCGGCGACAGACUUUGCCAACAUAACUAUUGGACCCACAUGGUCGAUGAAAAAGGUUGAACAGCGCAUACACCAAUGAAAUCUGGUGUUUGGAGCAGGAGUUGAACCAGCGACCUUUGGACCACAGCCUUUCAGGAACUUCUUAAAGUCAUGUGCUCUACCAACUGAGCUAUGAAGGUGCUUAUAGACACAAACGCAGAAAACAUAGUGGCUUCGGCGACAGAUUUUGCCAACAAUACUAUUGGACCCACAUGGUCAAUGAAAAAGAUUGAACAGUGCAUAGACCAAUGAAAUCUGGUGUUUGGAGCAGGAGUUCAACCAGCGACCUUUGGACCACAGCCUUUCAGGAACUUCUUAAAGUCAUGUGCUCUACCAACUGAGCUAUGAAGGUGCUUAUAGACACAAACGCAGAAAACAUAGUGGCUUCGGCGACAGACUUUGCCAACAAUACAAUUGGACCCACAUGGUCAAUGAAAAAGAUUGAACAGUGCAUAGAGCAAUGAAAUCUGGUGUUUGGAGCAGGAGUUGAACCAGCGACCUUUGGACCACAGCCUUUGAGGAACUUCUUAAAGUAAUGUGCUCUACCAACUGAGCUAUGAAGGUGCUUAUAGACACAAACGCAGAAAACAUAGUGGCUUCGGCGACACACUUUGCCAACAUAACUAUUGGACCCACAUGGUCGAUGAAAAAGGUUGAACAGUGCAUAGACCAAUGAAAUCUGGUGUUUGGAGCAGGAGUUGAACCAGCGACCUUUGGACCACAGCCUUUCAGGAACUUCUUAAAGUCAUGUGCUCUACCAACUGAGCUAUGAAGGUGCUUAUAGACACAAACGCAGAAAACAUAGUGGCUUCGGCGACAGAUUUUGCCAACAAUACAAUUGGACCCACAUGGUCAAUGAAAAAGAUUGAACAGUGCAUAGACCAAUGAAAUCUGGUGUUUGGAGCAGGAGUUGAACCAGCGACCUUUGGACCACAGCCUUUCAGGAACUUCUUAAAGUCAUGUGCUCUACCAACUGAGCUAUGAAGGUGCUUAUAGACACAAACGCAGAAAAGAUAGUGGCUUCGGCGACAGAUUUUGCCAACAAUACUAUUGGACCCACAUGGUCAAUGAAAAAGAUUGAACAGUGCAUAGACCAAUGAAAUCUGGUGUUUGGAGCAGGAGUUGAACCAGCGACCUUUGGACCACAGCCUUUCAGGAACUUCUUAAAGUCAUGUGCUCUACCAACUGAGCUAUGAAGGUGCUUAUAGACACAAACGCAGAAAACAUAGUGGCUUCGGCGACAGACUUUGCCAACAAUACAAUUGGACCCACAUGGUCAAUGAAAAAGAUUGAACAGUGCAUAGAGCAAUGAAAUCUGGUGUUUGGAGCAGGAGUUGAACCAGCGACCUUUGGACCACAGCCUUUCAGGAACUUCUUAGAGUCAUGUGCUCUACCAACUGAGCUAUGAAGGUGCUUAUAGACACAAACGCAGAAAACAUAGUGGCUUCGGCGACACACUUUGCCAACAUAACUAUUGGACCCACAUGGUCAAUGAAAAAGAUUGAACAGUGGAUACACCAAUGAAAUCUGGUGUUUGGAGCAGGAGUUGAACCAGCGACCUUUGGACCACAGCCUUUCAGGAACUUCUUAAAGUCAUGUGCUCUACCCACUGAGCUAUGAAGGUGCUUAUAGACACAAACGCAGAAAACAUAGUGGCUUCGUCGACAGAUUUUGCCAACAAUACAAUUGGACCCACAUGGUCAAUGAAAAAGGUUGAACAGUGCAUAGACCAAUGAAAUCUGGUGUUUGGAGCAGGAGUUGAACCAGCGACCUUUGGACCACAGCCUUUCAGGAACUUCUUAAAGUCAUGUGCUCUACCAACUGAGCUAUGAAGGUGCUUAUAGACACAAACGCAGAAAAGAUAGUGGCUUCGGCGACAGAUUUUGCCAACAAUACUAUUGGACCCACAUGGUCAAUGAAAAAGAUUGAACAGUGCAUAGACCAAUGAAAUCUGGUGUUUGGAGCAGGAGUUGAACCAGCGACCUUUGGACCACAG